UGGGGAAUUUUGGACAAUGGGCGAAAGCCUGAUCCAGCAAUGCCGCGUGUGUGAAGAAGGCCUUCGGGUUGUAAAGCACUUUUGUCCGGAAAGAAAUCCUUGGCUCUAAUACAGUCGGGGGAUGACGGUACCGGAAGAAUAAGCACCGGCUAACUACGUGCCAGCAGCCGCGGUAAUACGUAGGGUGCAAGCGUUAAUCGGAAUUACUGGGCGUAAAGCGUGCGCAGGCGGUUUGCUAAGACCGAUGUGAAAUCCCGGGCUCAACCUGGGAACUGCAUUGGUGACUGGCAGGCUAGAGUAUGGCAGAGGGGGGUAGAAUUCCACGUGUAGCAGUGAAAUGCGUAGAGAUGUGGAGGAAUACCGAUGGCGAAGGCAGCCCCCUGGGCCAAUACUGACGCUCAUGCACGAAAGCGUGGGGAGCAAACAGGAUUAGAUACCCUGGUAGUCCACGCCCUAAACGAUGUCAACUAGUUGUUGGGGAUUCAUUUCCUUAGUAACGUAGCUAACGCGUGAAGUUGACCGCCUGGGGAGUACGGUCG
rnacentral:rRNA from 1 species